rnacentral:siRNA from 1 species
ACUGUUUUGUGACUAAAUUGCGAC